GUGAGUGGUAUUUGUAUUUAGCACUGUUCUCAAGCUAGGAUAAAACUGCUUAAUAGAGAAAACCUUUGGCGUGUUUAAAAUUACCGGUAUGAUUUGGGCUGACUUGUAUGUGCCCUGCCCUAAAUGCUAAUCGCGCAGGUCUAUAAAAAAGCGUCCUAAGCACCUAAUUAGUUCUAAAGCUAUCAACUAUUAAAAGUUUUCCUUAUUUUUGAGUAAUUAGAGCUACCUUUUGCCGCAAAGGAAAAAUGCACAGUGGUAUUUUUUUUCCCUACAUUUCUCAUAUGAAAUAAAGCAGCUUCGUUGUUAUGUUUUUUUCUUUUACAUAAGUCUGUUUCUAAUGCUUUUUUUGUACCUUUCCUAAUAAAACGUCAUCCCCUUAAAGGAUAAGCCGUCCUUUUUUAGCGACUUUGGCUGCAAGCCAGAGCAGCUUGUUUACUCAGAGCUCCAGAGGGAUUAGCAAUUAGUCCGUGUAUAUGAUAUUCAGAAGUCAAAGCUUCAUGAAAUUCAUCACGCCACGCGCUGCGGAAGCUGAAUGCUAAAGAGGGUAACAAUUGCAUAAGCCCCAGGCAGCUCUGGCGGAACUGGUGUAGGCUGCGCCUUCUGUUCGGGAUCUUUUUUUCCUCACUGAUGGUGAGCAAAAAGUUUCUCUAGGGUCCUAGGUGACAAGGUUGUGCGAAAAUCCGAGUGAAAUAAUAAUCCAAGUUAAAAAAUGAGAGGUUUAAGCCUAGAAAAUGUGAACGAGAGCGCUCGAGCGAUCUUCCAGUGGCGCAGGAUGCGCAAGCAACGCUGCCUUUUGCAGGGGAAGCUAAAAUCCCGGCUGCCCAGGACUGAGGUGGUCACAGAAGCGUCUGCUUCGGGUCCAGCUUACAGGUGCGUCAGAGCGGCCGGCCCCGCUCGGCGGGCAGCGCUGGAGGUUCAGAGCAGCGAGAGCAGCCGUGCCGCCGGGGGGAUGGGGGAUGCGAGGGGGGGCUGCGCAGCAGGAAGAGGACGUUGGCGCCCGCGCGCCGCGGUGGACGGCGGGCUUUUCGAAUGCUUCCCAUUGGCCAAUGGCGUGCGUGUCUUCCCGGCGGCCAAUCACAGCGCGGCGGCGGCUAUAUAUAGCGGGCCCCGCGGCGGGGCUGGGUGCAGACGUUUUCAGCUCGUUGCAGGGAAGCUGCUCGGCGGUCAUGGCCCGCACCAAGCAAACGGCGCGUAAGUCGACGGGCGGGAAGGCGCCCCGCAAGCAGUUGGCCACCAAGGCGGCCCGCAAGAGCGCGCCGGCCACGGGCGGCGUGAAGAAGCCGCACCGCUACCGGCCCGGCACGGUGGCGCUGCGCGAGAUCCGGCGCUACCAGAAGUCCACGGAGCUGCUGAUCCGCAAGCUGCCCUUCCAGCGCCUGGUGCGCGAGAUCGCGCAGGACUUCAAGACCGACCUGCGCUUCCAGAGCUCGGCCGUGAUGGCGCUGCAGGAGGCGAGCGAGGCCUACCUGGUGGGGCUCUUCGAGGACACCAACCUCUGUGCCAUCCACGCCAAGCGCGUCACCAUCAUGCCCAAGGACAUCCAGCUGGCCCGUCGCAUCCGCGGCGAGCGUGCCUGAGCUUCUAGCUAACGGAUCCUUCAGACUCGCCCAGAACACAAAGGCUCUUUUAAGAGCCACCACAAAGCCACUGGAAAGAGCUGUAACCUUUUGCUCUCAUGUAGAAAGCGGUGUUUCCUUGUCCUUAUGUAGUUUUCCAGUGACCAAGAGCCAAUAUCUCAUUAGGCCCUUUUAUGUAAUGUGGGGAACUUGCUGUUCCGUCGAACCAUUUCAGUGCUACAAAUGAGUAGCUGUGCCUUUAAGAAGCGGUCUGAUUGAUUUGAAUACAGCUUUCCUUUACACUCGGAAACAAGCAGCCCCCGACAAUUGCUUAGAGGAAACAUUUUAGAAAGCCUGAAACUUCAAGACUGAUUUGUGUUAACUGCUGAUGCAUUUUACCUGAGGUAAUCUUUUCUCUCUGUCGGGAACUUGGAGUCUGCAGCAAAAUCUGUCCAAUCAAGUGCCUCGAAGCACCAUUUUCUUUCUCUUGUUUUUCUCACUUUCAGCCAUUUUCUGUUAGUUAACCUCGGUGUUGUAAAAGGGAGGUGGGAAGUACUGCGAAGUGUUAUGGGAAUUAUUGUAGUCUCCGUGAUUUAUUCCCUCUCCCUCUUAUUUAUUCAUUGACACAGGAUUUGUGUGUUUUAAUUUCGGUGGGGUUUUUUUUGUAGUAGAUGAUUAGCAGUGUGAUCGCAGGAAAGCAAAGUCAUUCACUGUCAGUGCUAGUAAGAGAUCUAUUUAUUUAUCUAAACCGGUUUACAUAUGUUUAUGACAACAUUUUAAAUUAAACUCAGUAAAAUCGGAAUUUUUAAUAUUUUAUCUUGUGAAUAUUUUAAUGUAUGAGCAAACAACACUUCAGCAAGAGUUUUGAGUGUAAAAUGAUGUCUGUUUGCAUGUUCAAGAAAUAAACAAUUUUUGAGGAGCGAGAAGAGGUGGGUUUUAUUUGCCCUAAUUUCUGUAACUUUUCCUCUACUCUUUUGAAGCCCUUACGCUGGUCAAUAAAUAGUAUUUGGAAUAAUUUAGAGACGUGCAAAUUCGAAUUGUAGUAAACACUAUCACUCCAUUAGCUGAGAAGGCAACACUAGUAAGGGAUUUCAUUUGCAGGAAGAGUGAGCUCACAUGAACCCCAAAUUAUAACAUCGAAGUCUGAAGUAGUUUUGGGGUGUAGCACAUUAUGAAAAGAAACCCUACUAACAACCUGUGAUAGUUUGUCCUUGUGGACUAGGAGUUAGAAAGAAUAUAUUGUGUGGGUUUCAACUGGGUUUAACAACUGCAGAAGGCUGUAAUAGUGAUGUAGGGAAUAGUGAUAGACUGAUUGUAAUGUAUAAAAAGGGCUUUACUUCUUCCUCUUUAUACAAGUAAUAAAUCCUACCUGGAAUCCUAACAGCUUGCAUUUUGUGUUGAAUCACUUAAGUAUAAAAAAGACAUGACAAAUAUCCCAAA